rnacentral:rRNA from 1 species
GACGAACGCUGGCGGCGUGCUUAACACAUGCAUGUCGAACGGAAAGGCCCUGCUUUUGUGGGGUGCUCGAGUGGCGAACGGGUGAGUAACACGUGAGUAACCUGCCCUUGACUUUGGGAUAACUUCAGGAAACUGGGGCUAAUACCGGAUAGGAGCUCCUGCUGCAUGGUGGGGGUUGGAAAGUUUCGGCGGUUGGGGAUGGACUCGCGGCUUAUCAGCUUGUUGGUGGGGUAGUGGCUUACCAAGGCUUUGACGGGUAGCCGGCCUGAGAGGGUGACCGGCCACAUUGGGACUGAGAUACGGCCCAGACUCCUACGGGAGGCAGCAGUGGGGAAUAUUGCACAAUGGGCGGAAGCCUGAUGCAGCAACGCCGCGUGCGGGAUGACGGCCUUCGGGUUGUAAACCGCUUUCGCCUGUGACGAAGCGUGAGUGACGGUAAUGGGUAAAGAAGCACCGGCUAACUACGUGCCAGCAGCCGCGGUGAUACGUAGGGUGCGAGCGUUGUCCGGAUUUAUUGGGCGUAAAGGGCUCGUAGGUGGUUGAUCGCGUCGGAAGUGUAAUCUUUGGGGCUUAACCCUGAGCGUGCUUUCGAUACGGGUUGACUUGAGGAAGGUAGGGGAGAAUGGAAUUCCUGGUGGAGCGGUGGAAUGCGCAGAUAUCAGGAGGAACACCAGUGGCGAAGGCGGUUCUCUGGGCCUUUCCUGACGCUGAGGAGCGAAAGCGUGGGGAGCGAACAGGCUUAGAUACCCUGGUAGUCCACGCUGUAAACGGUGGGUACUAGGUGUGGGGUCCAUUCCACGGGUUCCGUGCCGUAGCUAACGCUUUAAGUACCCCGCCUGGGGAGUACGGCCGCAAGGCUAAAACUCAAAGGAAUUGACGGGGCCCCGCACAAGCGGCGGAGCAUGCGGAUUAAUUCGAUGCAACGCGUAGAACCUUACCUGGGUUUGACAUGGAUCGGGAGUGCUCAGAGAUGGGUGUGCCUCUUUUGGGGUCGGUUCACAGGUGGUGCAUGGCUGUCGUCAGCUCGUGUCGUGAGAUGUUGGGUUAAGUCCCGCAACGAGCGCAACCCUUGUUCACUGUUGCCAGCACGUUAUGGUGGGGACUCAGUGGAGACCGCCGGGGUCAACUCGGAGGAAGGUGGGGAUGACGUCAAGUCAUCAUGCCCCUUAUGUCCAGGGCUUCACGCAUGCUACAAUGGCUGGUACAGAGAGUGGCGAGCCUGUGAGGGUGAGCGAAUCUCGGAAAGCCGGUCUCAGUUCGGAUUGGGGUCUGCAACUCGACCUCAUGAAGUCGGAGUCGCUAGUAAUCGCAGAUCAGCAACGCUGCGGUGAAUACGUUCCCGGGGCU